rnacentral:rRNA from 1 species
AGUGAACGCUGGCGGCAGGCCUAACACAUGCAAGUCGAACGGCAACACAGUAAGAGCUUGCUCUUACGGGUGGCGAGUGGCGGACGGGUGAGGAAUGCAUCGGAAUCUACUUUGUCGUGGGGGAUAACGUAGGGACACUUACGCUAAUACCUCAUACUACGUACGGGUGAAAUCAGGAGAUCUUCGGACCUUUCGCGAUUGAAUGAGCCGAUGUCGGAUUAGCUAGUUGGCGGGGUAAAGGCCCACCAAGGCGACGAUACGUAGCUGGUCUGAGAGGAUGAUCAGCCACACUGGAACUGAGACACGGUCCAGACUCCUACGGGAGGCAGCAGUGGGGAAUAUUGGACAAAGGGCGCAAGCCUGAUCCAGCCAUACCGCGUGGGUGAAGAAGGCCUUCGGGUUGUAAAGCCCUUUUGUUGGGAAAGAAGAGCAGCAGGUUAAUACCCCGCUGUUCUGACGGUACCCAAAGAAUAAGCACCGGCUAACUUCGUG